rnacentral:rRNA from 1 species
ACGACUGCUAAGACUGGAUAGGAGAUAAGAAGGCAUCUUCUUAUUUUUAAAAGACCUAGCAAUAGGUAUGCUUAGAGAGGAGCUUGCGUCACAUUAGUUAGUUGGUGGGGUAAAAGCCUACCAAGACGAUGAUGUGUAGCCGGGCUGAGAGGUCAAACGGCCACAUUGGGACUGAGACACGGCCCAAACUCCUACGGGAGGCAGCAGUAAGGAAUUUUCGGCAAUGGAGGAAACUCUGACCGAGCAACGCCGCGUGAACGAUGAAGUAUUUCGGUACGUAAAGUUCUUUUAUUAGGGAAGAAAAGAUGGUGGAAAAACCAUUAUGACGGUACCUAAUGAAUAAGCCCCGGCUAACUAUGUGCCAGCAGCCGCGGUAAUACAUAGGGGGCAAGCGUUAUCCGGAAUUAUUGGGCGUAAAGGGUGCGUAGGCGGUUAAAUAAGUUUAUGGUCUAAGUGCAAUGCUUAACGUUGUGAUGCUAUAAAAACUGUUUAGCUAGAGUUGGAUAGAGGCAAGUGGAAUUCCAUGUGUAGUGGUAAAAUGCGUAAAUAUAUGGAGGAACACCAGGAGCGAAGGCGGCUUGCUGGGUCUUAACUGACGCUGAGGCACGAAAGCGUGGGGAGCAAAACAGGAUUAGAUACCCUGGUAGUCCACGCCCUAAACGAUGAGUACUAAACGUUGGGUAAAACCAGUGUUGAAGUUAACACAUUAAGUACUCCGCCCUGAGUAGUACGUACGCAAGUAUGAAACUUAAAGGAAUUGACGGGACUCCGCACAAGCGGUGGAUCAUGUUGUUUAAUUCGAAGGUACCCGAAAAACCUCACCAGGUCUUGACAUGCUUUUGCAAAGUUGUAGAAAUACAGUGGAGGUUAUCAAUUGCACAGGUGGUGCAUGGUUGUCGUCAGCUCGUGUCGUGAGAUGUUGGGUUAAGUCCCGCAACGAGCGCAACCCUUGUUGUUAAUUGCCAGCAUGUAAUGAUGGGGACUUUAGCAAGACUGCCAGUGAUAAAUUGGAGGAAGGUGGGGACGACGUCAAAUCAUCAUGCCCCUUAUGACCUGGGCUACAAACGUGAUACAAUGGCUGUUACAAAGGGUAGCUAUAGCGUAAGCUUUUGGCGAAUCUCAAAAAAGCAGUCUCAGUUCGGAUUGAAGUCUGCAACUCGACUUCAUGAAGUUGGAAUCGCUAGUAAUCGCGAAUCAGCAUGUCGCGGUGAAUACGUUCUCGGGGUUUGUAACACCGCCCGUCA